UCCUAAUAUAACCCCAGGAGAGAAGGCUUGGCUCCUAAUAUAACCCCAGGAGAGAAGGCUUGGCUCCUAAUAUAACCCCAGGAGAGAAGGCUCCUAAUAUAACCCCAGGAGAGAAGGCUUGGCUCCUCAUAUAACCCCAGGAGAGAAGGCUUGGCUCCUAAUAUAACCCCAGGAGAGAAGGCUUGGCUCCUCAUAUAACCCCAGGAGAGAAGGCUUGGCUCCUAAUAUAACCCCAGGAGAGAAGGCUUGGCUCCUAAUAUAACCCCAGGAGAGAAGGCUUGGCUCCUAAUAUAACCCCAGGAGAGAAGGCUCCUAAUAUAACCCCAGGAGAGAAGGCUCCUAAUAUAACCCCAGGAGAGAAGGCUUGGCUCCUAAUAUAACCCCAGGAGAGAAGGCUUGGCUCCUCAGGCCAGUGCUGGAAAAGGGUUAGAAAAGUUUGUCUGCCUGUUUGUGUCUUUGUUUCGGGUUAGAAUUCAUCAUAAGUCCAGAGGCCUCAAAAUAAUUCAACAAAAAAAACUUCCCAAAAAUAUAGAUAUCAAUACAAGUCUCCCAGAAGUCCCCAAAUGUUUGAAAUUCUGAAAUUCUAAGGCAAAGGUGGCACAUAUCCUGUUGGUGCCAGAGUGAGGAGAGGACGUUGAUAGUAAAACUGUAUAACAAUGAUGAAUACAGUCAGUUACCCUCUGGUUCAUUGGCCAUCGUGGCUACUUAGCUGGACAGGAUAUGCUCUCAAAUGUCUCUCGCGUGUAGGACCAGUUUUCUGUAGGACAGGAUAUGCUCUCAAAUGUCUCUCGCGUGUAGGACCAGUUUUCUGUAGGACAGGAUAUGCUCUCAAAUGUCUCUCGCGUGUAGGACCAGUUUUCUGUAGGACAGGAUAUGCUCUCAAAUGUCUCUCGCGUGUAGGACCAGUUUUCUGUAGGACAGGAUAUG
ensembl:lncRNA